rnacentral:rRNA from 1 species
GCUUGUUGGUGGGGUAAUGGCCUACCAAGGCGACGACGGGUAGCCGGCCUGAGAGGGUGACCGGCCACACUGGGACUGAGAUACGGCCCAGACUCCUACGGGAGGCAGCAGUGGGGAAUAUUGCACAAUGGGCGCAAGCCUGAUGCAGCGACGCCGCGUGAGGGAUGACGGCCUUCGGGUUGUAAACCUCUUCCAAUAGGGACGAAGCGCAAGUGACGGUACCUAUAGAAGAAGGACCGGCCAACUACGUGCCAGCAGCCGCGGUAAUACGUAGGGUCCGAGCGUUGUCCGGAAUUACUGGGCGUAAAGAGCUCGUAGGUGGUUUGUCGCGUUGUCCGUGAAAUCCCACAACUCAAUUGUGGGUCUGCGGGCGAUACGGGCAGACUGGAGUACUGCAGGGGAGACUGGAAUUCCUGGUGUAGCGGUGGAAUGCGCAGAUAUCAGGAGGAACACCGGUGGCGAAGGCGGGUCUCUGGGCAGUAACUGACGCUGAGGAGCGAAAGCGUGGGGAGCGAACAGGAUUAGAUACCCUGGUAGUCCACGCCGUAAACGGUGGGCACUAGGUGUGGGUUUCCUUCCUUGGGAUCCGUGCCGUAGCUAACGCAUUAAGUACCCCGCCUGGGGAGUACGGCCGCAAGGCUAAAACUCAA